rnacentral:lncRNA from 1 species
UCAUUUGUUUGUAAUGGAAUCAUCCUGAUUUUCUGUCUGAUUUGCUUUUUAAAACUCAAGAUAUGGGACUGACAUCUGAUCCAUUGUGUGAUUCAUCUUCCCACUGACACAACAGACAAGACAGAUCCCAGACAUGAGAUCUUCCUUCCCAUGGCCCUGAGUGAUGGAGUGCUAUUUCUGCACUGAAUUUGAGCAUUUUGAGCCAAAGAAGAACAUGAUACAAAAUGAAGAGGAGAAAAAAACACAGCUUGUUUACCUUAG